rnacentral:rRNA from 1 species
AUUGAACGCUGGCGGAAUGCUUUACACAUGCAAGUCGAACGGCAGCACGGGGGCAACCCUGGUGGCGAGUGGCGAACGGGUGAGUAAUACAUCGGAACGUGCCCAGUCGUGGGGGAUAACGUAGCGAAAGCUACGCUAAUACCGCAUACGAUCUACGGAUGAAAGCGGGGGAUCGCAAGACCUCGCGCGAUUGGAGCGGCCGAUGGCAGAUUAGGUAGUUGGUGGGGUAAAGGCUCACCAAGCCUUCGAUCUGUAGCUGGUCUGAGAGGACGACCAGCCACACUGGGACUGAGACACGGCCCAGACUCCUACGGGAGGCAGCAGUGGGGAAUUUUGGACAAUGGGCGAAAGCCUGAUCCAGCCAUUCCGCGUGCAGGAUGAAGGCCCUCGGGUUGUAAACUGCUUUUGUACGGACGAAACGGCCGUUUCUAAUACGGAGGGCUAAUGACGGUACCGUAAGAAUAAGCACCGGCUAACUACGUGCCAGCAGCCGCGGUAAUGUAUCGUA